UACGUAGGGGGCAAGCGUUGUCCGGAAUCAUUGGGCGUAAAGCGCGUGUAGGCGGCUCGAUAAGUCCGCUCUGAAAGCCCGGGGCUCAACCCCGGGAGGCGGGCGGAAACUGUCGGGCUAGAGUCCGGAAGAGGCGAGUGGAAUUCCCGGUGUAGCGGUGAAAUGCGCAGAUAUCGGGAAGAACACCCGUGGCGAAGGCGGCUCUCUGGGACGGUACUGACGCUGAGACGCGAAAGCGUGGGGAGCGAACAGG
rnacentral:rRNA from 1 species